AGCGGCUGGGAGGACGGGGCGGGCAACCUGCCCGGGCUGCCCGAGAUGGGGGGCCUGCGCUCUAUAAGUUCCGGUGCUGUGUAGCUGAACGUAGUUUGCCGCUUUAGCUCUUUGAGUCUAUCUUCGAAGAUCUGAAGGAAAUCAAGGACAGAAAAAUGGCAUCCAACUUCGUGAGCAAGGAAGACGACCACGAUUACCACCAGCACUACCAGGCACCGUCGCCGCCGGGAGUUCGGAGGACUUGGUCCUCCAACUCAUCCGCCUGCGGCCAGGGGGCCGUCCCGAAGUGCGUGUGCGCUCCGACCACCCACGCGGGUUCCUUCAAGUGCCGUCUCCACAGGACGAGUUCCCACAGCCACACCCCCGCCUCCCCCACCUCUAUCCCUCCGCCGCCGCGCGUGAACACCUCCCGCGCCCCCACCGUGGAGGCCCAGUGACUACAAGAAAGCUUCAGAAGUAGGGAUAUGUUUGGUGAUUCCCGAUGGUUAUGGAGAUAAUUAUGGCGUCUAGAGGGUGGAGGAGAGAGAGAGAGACGGGUGUUACCAGUGUUGUAAUUAGUCCUUUCCCGUAAUAGCUAGUUCUGUUUUCCGUGUGUGAGAAAUGAUACCUCAUGUAGUAGUUUCAUUUGGAGAUCUUGUUGUUGUUGAAGCUGUUCUUGUAGAUAUUAUCCGCUUCCAAGCACCAAAGAAAACAAAAACGAGUGUUGCUAUCUGUAAUGUUCUAAUCCGAUCAACUCGUGGAUAAACAUCAGUGUUUGAGAAAGGACAGAUACAACAAUCAACAGGUGGCAGACUCAGUGGGGGUGAGACAAACGAGUUGACGUUUUUACUUUGCUCUUUACCUUUUUGCCACACUUUUUCCCUUCGUCGUUUGCUGUGGACAGCGGUAAUUGGUUGCCUUCGAUCUGCCCAGGUAUGCGAUCAACCAUUGUGGGUUCUUGGGCAUCAAGCAGCAGGAUGCAAGAUGAUUGCCCCCAGUGUGUUCCAUGAAUUGCGCGUCCUCUGGUCAAUGUCGGGAGCUUUUUACGGGGUGAUUCGGAUGAUGA